CGAGGAGCUGUCCUUAGUACGAGAGGACCGGGAUGGACAUACCUCUGGUGUACCAGUUGUCGUGCCAACGGCAUAGCUGGGUAGCUAUGUAUGGACGGGAUAAGUGCUGAAAGCAUCUAAGCAUGAAGCCCCCCUCGAGAUGAGAUUUCCCAACUUCGGUUAUAAGAUCCCUCAAAGAUGAUGAGGUGAAUAGGUUCGAGGUGGAAGCGUAGCGAUACGUGGAGCUGACGAAUACUAAUCGAUCGAAGACUUAAUCAACAU
rnacentral:rRNA from 1 species